rnacentral:rRNA from 1 species
UACAGAGGUCUCAACCGUUGUUCGGAUUCAUUGGGCGUAAAGAGCGCGUAGGCGGUCCGGUAAGUCAGCUGUGAAAGUCAGGGGCUCAACCCUUGAAAGCCGGUUGAUACUGUCGGGCUAGAGUCCGGAAGAGGCGAGUGGAAUUCCCGGUGUAGCGGUGAAAUGCGCAGAUAUCGGGAGGAACACCAAUGGCGAAGGCAGCUCGCUGGGACGGUACCGACGCUGAGGCGCGAAAGCGUGGGGAGCAAACAGG